rnacentral:rRNA from 1 species
GACAGAGGAUGCAAGCGUUAUCCGGAAUGAUUGGGCGUAAAGCGUCUGUAGGUGGUUUAUUAAGUCUACUGUUAAAGAUCAGGGCUUAACCCUGAGCAGGCAAUAGAAACUAAUAAGCUAGAGUACGGUAGGGGCAGAGGGAAUUCCCGGUGUAGCGGUGAAAUGCGCAGAUAUCAGGAGGAACACCGGUGGCGAAGGCGGCUUGCUGGGCCAGUUCUGACGCUGAGGAGCGAAAGCGUGGGGAGCGAACAGG